AUUGAACGCUGGCGGCAUGCCUUACACAUGCAAAUCGAACGGUAACGGGCCUUCGGGUGCCGACGAGUGGCGAACGGGCGAGUAAUACAUCAGAACGUGCCCGAUCGUGGGGGAUAACGAGGCGAAAGCUUUGCUACUACCGCAAACGAUCUACGGAUGAAAGUAGGGGACCGCAAGGCAUAGCGCGGACGGAGCGGCCGUGGGCAGAUUCGGUAGUUGGUGGGAUUACAGCUUACCAAGCCGACGAACUGUAGCUGGUCUGAGAGGAUGAUCAGCCACACUGGGACUGGAACACGGCCCAGACUCCUACGGGAGGCAGCAGUGGGGAAUUUUGGACAAUGGGGGCAAGCCUGAUCCAGCCAUGCCGCGUACAGGAUAAAGGCCUUCGGUUUGUAAACUGAGUUUGUACGGAACAAAAAGCUCUCUUUUAAUACAGGGGGGUCAUGACGGUACCGGAAGAAUAAGCACCGGCUAACUACGUG
rnacentral:rRNA from 1 species